rnacentral:rRNA from 1 species
AGCGAACGUUAGCGGCGGGCCUAACACAUGCAAGUCGAACGAGAAUGUGGGCUUCGGCUCACUAGUAAAGUGGCGGACGGGUGCGUAACACGUGGGUAAUCUACCUUCCGGCGGGGGACAACAGUCCGAAAGGAUUGCUAAUACCGCAUACGUCAGCGAAGUCUACGGAUCUUGUUGGGAAAGAUGGCCUCUCCUUGGAAGCUGUCACCGGAAGAUGAGCCCGCGGCCCAUCAGCUAGUUGGUGAGGUAAUGGCUCACCAAGGCUUAGACGGGUAGCUGGUCUGAGAGGAUGAUCAGCCACACUGGGACUGCGACACGGCCCAGACUCCUACGGGAGGCAGCAGUGGGGAAUAUUGGGCAAUGGGCGAAAGCCAGACCCAGCCACGCCGCGUGGGUGAUGAA